rnacentral:rRNA from 1 species
UACGUAGGGUGCGAGCGUUAAUCGGAAUUACUGGGCGUAAAGCGUGCGCAGGCGGUUUUGUAAGCCAGAUGUGAAAUCCCCGGGCUUAACCUAGGAAUGGCAUUUGGGACUGCAAGGCUCGAGUGCGGCAGAGGAGACUGGAAUUCCUGGUGUAGCAGUGAAAUGCGUAGAUAUCAGGAGGAACACCGAUGGCGAAGGCAGGUCUCUGGGCUGACACUGACGCUCAUGCACGAAAGCGUGGGGAGCAAACAGG